AUUAGGAAUCUUGCGCAAUGGGCGAAAGCCUGACGCAGCGACGUCGCGUGGGGGACGAAGGCCUUCGGGUUGUAAACCCCUUUUAUCUGGGAAGAAACAAAUGACGGUACCAGGUGAAUAAGCCCCGGCUAACUCCGUGCCAGCAGCCGCGGUAAUACGGAGGGGGCGAGCGUUGUCCGAAUUUACUGGGCGUAAAGAGCGCGUAGGCGGGUCUCUAAGUCCGCUGUGAAAGCCCGGGGCUCAACCCCGGAGGGUCGGCGGAUACUGGAGGCCUUGAAGGUGCUAGGGGGAAGUGGAAUUACAGGUGUAGCGGUGAAAUGCGUAGAUAUCUGUAGGAACACCAGUGGCGAAGGCGGCUUCCUGGGGCAUUCUUGACGCUGAGGCGCGAAAGCUGGGGGAGCGAACGG
rnacentral:rRNA from 1 species